CAUGGCGGGUUACCUCUCCCCUGCUGCUUACCUGUACGUGGAGGAGCAGGAGUAUCUCCAGGCCUACGAGGAUGUCCUGGAGAGGUACAAAGAUGAACGGGACAAAGUUCAGAAGAAAACAUUUACAAAAUGGAUAAAUCAGCAUCUCAUGAAGGUUCGAAAACAUGUGAAUGAUCUCUAUGAAGACUUAAGGGAUGGACACAAUUUGAUUUCUCUUUUAGAGGUUCUUUCAGGAGAUACCUUGCCCAGAGAAAAAGGUCGGAUGCGUUUUCACAGACUACAGAAUGUACAAAUUGCACUUGACUAUUUGAAAAGACGCCAGGUGAAAUUAGUGAAUAUUAGAAAUGAUGACAUAACAGACGGAAAUCCCAAAUUGACUUUGGGAUUAAUCUGGACAAUAAUUUUGCACUUUCAGAUAUCUGAUAUCCAUGUUACUGGAGAGUCAGAGGAUAUGUCUGCAAAAGAGAGAUUGCUACUCUGGACGCAGCAGGCAACAGAGGGUUAUGCUGGAAUUCGGUGUGAAAAUUUCACUACCUGCUGGAGAGAUGGAAAAUUAUUUAAUGCCAUCAUUCAUAAAUACAGGUAUGGAAUUUGUGGAUUUUUUCCUUAUACAACUGUAAGACACAUUUCUUUCAUCUCUGAAUUUUAAAAUUAUCUUUUAUUAUUAUAGAAGCAAAAGCAUGGCAAAAAAUUAGAAAAUACAGAAAAAUUAAAAUAAAAAAUUGGCCAGGUGCA
rnacentral:sRNA from 1 species